rnacentral:rRNA from 1 species
CAGGAUAUGCCUAGGUGGGAUUAGCUAGUUGGUGAGGUUUGGGCUCACCAAGGCGACGAUCCCUAGCUGGUCUGAGAGGAUGAUCAGCCACACUGGAACUGAGACACGGUCCAGACUCCUACGGGAGGCAGCAGUGGGGAAUAUUGCACAAUGGGCGCAAGCCUGAUGCAGCCAUGCCGCGUGUGUGAAGAAGGCCUUCGGGUUGUAAAGCACUUUCAGUCGUGAGGAAGGUGGUGUAGUUAAUAGCUGCAUUAUUUGACGUUAGCGACAGAAGAAGCACCGGCUAACUCCGUGCCAGCAGCCGCGGUAAUACGGAGGGUGCGAGCGUUAAUCGGAAUUACUGGGCGUAAAGCGCAUGCAGGUGGUUUGUUAAGUCAGAUGUGAAAGCCCGGGGCUCAACCUCGGAAUAGCAUUUGAAACUGGCAGACUAGAGUACUGUAGAGGGGGGUAGAAUUUCAGGUGUAGCGGUGAAAUGCGUAGAGAUCUGAAGGAAUACCGGUGGCGAAGGCGGCCCCCUGGACAGA